rnacentral:rRNA from 1 species
AUAGCGUAUAUUAAAGUUGUUGCAGUUAAAAAGCUCGUAGUUGAACUUCAGACCUGGCCGGACGGUCUGCCUAACGGUAUGUACUGUCUGGCUGGGCCUUACCUCUUGGUGAGCCGGCAUGCCCUUCACUGGGUGUGUCGGGGAACCAGGACUUUUACCUUGAGAAAAUUAGAGUGCUCAAAGCAGGCCUGUGCUUGAAUACAUUAGCAUGGAAUAAUAAAAUAGGACGUGCGGUUCUAUUUUGUUGGUUUCUAGAGUCGCCGUAAUGAUUAAUAGGGAUAGUUGGGGGCAUUAGUAUUCGGUUGCUAGAGGUGAAAUUCUUGGAUUUAC